GUGAGUGAUGAAGGCCUUCGGGUCGUAAAGCUCUGUUGUUAGGGAAGAACAAGUAUCGGAGUAACUGCCGGUACCUUGACGGUACCUAACCAGAAAGCCACGGCUAACUACGUGCCAGCAGCCGCGGUAAUACGUAGGUGGCAAGCGUUGUCCGGAAUUAUUGGGCGUAAAGCGCGCGCAGGCGGUUCCUUAAGUCUGAUGUGAAAGCCCACGGCUCAACCGUGGAGGGUCAUUGGAAACUGGGGAACUUGAGUGCAGAAGAGAAGAGCGGAAUUCCACGUGUAGCGGUGAAAUGCGUAGAGAUGUGGAGGAACACCAGUGGCGAAGGCGGCUCUUUGGUCUGUAACUGACGCUGAGGCGCGAAAGCGUGGGGAGCGAACAGGAUUAGAUACCCUGGUAGUCCACGCCGUAAACGAUGAGUGCUAAGUGUUAGAGGGUUUCCGCCCUUUAAUGCUGCAACAAACGCAUUAAGCACUCCGCCUGGGGAGUACGGCCGCAAGGCUGAAACUCAAAGGAAUUGACGGGGGCCCGCACAAGCGGUGGAGCAUGUGGUUUAAUUCGAAGCAACGCGAAGAACCUUACCAGGUCUUGACAUCCUCUGACACUCCUAGAGAUAGGACGUUCCCCUUCGGGGGACAGAGUGACAGGUGGUGCAUGGUUGUCGUCAGCUCGUGUCGUGAGAUGUUGGGUUAAGUCCCGCAACGAGCGCAACCCU
rnacentral:rRNA from 1 species